rnacentral:rRNA from 1 species
AGUGAACGCUGGCGAUAGGCCUAACACAUGCAAGUCGAACGGCAGCACAGUAAGAGCUUGCUCUUACGGGUGGCGAGUGGCGGACGGGUGAGGAAUACAUCGGAAUCUACUUUUUCGUGGGGGAUAACGUAGGGAAACUUACGCUAAUACCGCAUACGACCUACGGGUGAAAGCAGGGGAUCUUCGGACCUUGCGCGAUUGAAUGAGCCGAUGUCGGAUUAGCUAGUUGGCGGGGUAAAGGCCCACCAAGGCGACGAUCCGUAGCUGGUCUGAGAGGAUGAUCAGCCACACUGGAACUGAGACACGGUCCAGACUCCUACGGGAGGCAGCAGUGGGGAAUAUUGGACAAUGGGCGCAAGCCUGAUCCAGCCAUACCGCGUGGGUGAAGAAGGCGUUCGGGUUGUAAAGCCCUUUUGUUGGGAAAGAAAAGCAGCAGGUUAAUACCCCGCUGUUCUGACGGUACCCAAAGAAUAAGCACCGGCUAACUUCGUG